rnacentral:lncRNA from 1 species
UAUCUUUGACUUUGUCUCGUCAGAUUUUAAAACAGACUCACGUUCAAGUUUCCCACAGUCCAAAAGAGGAGUCCCCAACCGAUGAAGUUUUAAUAGAAGAGGCCAGAUUGCAUGUAGCUAUAAUACAAAUGAGUAGCUUUGAAAAGCAGUGUAACGAUGGUACCCUUGGAGUAGAGGCAGCUCGAAUAUUAAUUGGUGCCACCAAAAGUUACUGCCCCAUCCACGGAAAAUUCAUGAGUAUUUCUGACGUUUCAACUUAUGUGAGAGCCAGGAGUUGGCUUAUAAAGUUUAAAAACCUGUUAACUUACUUGGAAUAUCACAAAGAAAGGAUACUUUUUACUGUACCUGGGAAUAAUAAAUUUCUGAUUUUUGUCUAUCAAAUUAUAAUUUCAGAAGAAUUUGAAUAUGC